rnacentral:rRNA from 1 species
UACGUAGGGGGCAAGCGUUGUCCGGAUUUAUUGGGCGUAAAGAGCGUGUAGGCGGCCUUCCAGGUCAGCUGUGAAAACUCGAGGCUCAACCUCGAGACGUCGGUUGAAACCGUAAGGCUAGAGUCCGGAAGAGGAGAGUGGAAUUCCCGGUGUAGCGGUGAAAUGCGCAGAUAUCGGGAAGAACACCCGUGGCGAAGGCGGCUCUCUGGGACGGUACUGACGCUGAGACGCGAAAGCGUGGGGAGCGAACAGG